AUUAUUGUUUAGGAUUGAACUUUGGCUGGGUUUGAAAUUUGAAUACUGUGAAAAUCUAUUAAUAGAUGCUGUGGAAGUGUAUAUAAACAGUUUAAAUUAUAAAUAGUUAGAAAUGAGUGUUCAACAGUAGCCAAACAUGGGCUUAGGCGAUAACAUACUCUGUGCUGCUAAUUUUGAAAUAGGAGAUGAUUCUUGUCAUUGUGAAUUCGGAGAAGCGAGUGACAAAGGGGACGAUUCUGUGGGAGUUGAAGAUGAAGGAGAUGAUGAAGAUAUUAGUGAUUUGGAAAAUGAUGACCCUACUGAUAUUGAUAUAGAAAGAGUGCGACGAGGUAUUGCCAAUUUCAUAUGUUUCCAGGAUGUGCCACCGAAUCUUUUAAAAAAUGAUGAUUUCAAAAACUUGAUGACUGAGUACUUUCCUUCCUUGACCUUGGAUUCCGAGACGACCAAAAAUGAUUGCUUGAAGGUUUUUGAGGAAGCGAAAUCAAUAACUAAAUGUACUUUGAAUCAUAUGGGUCGAAUGAUUCCUCUUUCAGUUGACGUGUUAACGUACUUAAAUAGACAUGGUUCCCGUUAUGACUACAUAUCUUUGGCAGCACACUUCGUUGACGAUACUUGGAAGUUGAGGAAAUGGAUUCUUUAUUUUCGGAGGCUUGAUUUUUUUGAUGCAGCAAUCUUGAAAUCUAUAGACGACUGGAGCCUCGAGAAUAAAGUAUAUACUCUGACGUCAGGAAAUAUUAAUGCAUUUGCAAGGGAUGAAAUUAUUGAGUCCAUCAAAUCUCAGUUCAAAGAGAAGAACAGACUGCCAAUCGAUUCUCGUCUUUUUUCUGUGAGUUGCUGUGCUGAAAUGUUUUGUUUGAUGGCGCAAGAUGCAUUUGAAGAGAUAUGUAUCAUCAUCGGCAAACUCAAAGAGCUACAUUUGUCAAGGUCUGAAUCUAUGUGGCAUACGACAAAUUGGAAACUGAAAAUUAUGUUAGAUAUGGAAUCAAUGGGAGAAUUUAAUUCAGAUGUGCACAAGAAUUUUGUGCCAUCUGCAGAUGAAUGGGAGAAAGUUCGAAUUGUCUAUAAACUUGUGGAUAACACUUACAAUGUUGCAAAGCAGGUUUUUGAAACGAAGCAUCCAACAGCUAACAAAUUUUUGUACAAUCUUGAGGAGCUUCGUGCAAAAUUAAUUCUCGAAGCCACUAGUUCAGUCUCUUUUACUUGGUGCGUGGCUAAGAAAAUGCUUCAAAGGCUUGAUAAGUACAUAAAAGAAACGUUUCUGGUAUUGGCAAUUGCGUCAGUGAUGGAUCCUCGUUGCAAAAUGCAAUACAUGGAGUAUAUUUCCACGAAAUUUGGAGACAGAGAUGGCAUCUUGGAAAGUGGUGCUGUUUUGGAGGCUAUUAAAAGCAUCUAUGCAGAUUAUGCGAGCCAUGGCACGAAAGUGGAUAAUUCUGAAGGUACUUCAAAUCUUAAAACAGAAGAGGGAAAUCCAAGAAAUGAUAAAGAACAAUUUCCAAAUUUUCCGGGCGGGCAAGAAUACCAUGAAUAUGUUCAAGUCAAUAAUAAGCCUAAAAAGUCCGAUCUGGAUUCGUAUUUAGAAGAGCCUGUAGUACCUUGGAAUGAAAACUUCAACGUAUUGCGAUGGUGGAAAUCUGAAGCUCCCAAGUAUCCAAACGUCUCGAAAAUGGCCCGUGACUUCUUGGCUAUACCUAUAUCAGUGGCUACUUCACACGAUGCUUACUAUUAUUUGGAAAAUAGACCGCCUGAUCUUCGUGUUAUCACUUCAGGGGCGGAGAUGAUGAAUGCCUUGAUGUGCUGUAGGAGCUGGAACACUGGUCCUAAGAUUGAUUUUGAGUUAUGGUUUCUUGCUGCUGGUGUGAACAUAUUAUAACUUGUGAUGUCUAUGAUUUUGAAUUACCAUUGUCUGGUGGAACUGUUUGGAUCUUUUUGCUAGCUUGAUCCUAUUUUGAGUUGCCAUGAAUAAUCUAAGAAAGAUGUACCAAAUGUUUUUAUUUAUUGUUCUAUCUAAUCAGGUGUAAUAUUAGACACCUACUCAUCUUAUAAUAUUGGGGAUCCAAAAUGUUUAUGUAAAUACUCUUUGCCCU
rnacentral:lncRNA from 1 species